rnacentral:lncRNA from 1 species
AUGGGAAAUUCGAUGGACAUGGACAUAAGCCCCCUGAGGCCCCAGGACUAUCUUUUCAGUUGUGAACUAAAGGCCGACGAAGUGAUCACUUUAAGGUGGAUAAUGAUGAAAAUGAGCACCAGUUGUCUUUAAGAAUGGUCAGUUUCGGGGCUGGUGCAAAGGUUGAAUUGCACAUUGUUGAACCUGAGGCAAUGAAUUUCGAAGGCAAUCCCAUUAAAGUAACACCGGCAACUUGAAGUGUAUAUACAGCCAACGGCUUCCCCUGGGAGCUUUGAAAUAACACCCCAUGGUCUUUCAGUUGAAGUGUGGUUCAGGGCCAGUGUAUAUUAGUGGACAGCACUUAGUAUCUGUGGAGGAAGAUGCAGAGUCAGAAGAUGAAGAAGAGGAGGAUGUGAAACUCUUAAGUAUAUCUGGAAAGCAAUCUGCCCUGGAGGUGGAAGCAAGAUUCCACAAAAAAGAGUAAAAUUUGCUGCUGCUGAGAAGAGGAUGAGGAGGAAGAGGAGGAGGUGGAAGAGGAAGAGGAAGAAGAGGAUUUUGAUGAUGAGGAAACUGAAGAAAAAGUGCCAGUGAAUAAAUGUAUAUGAGACACUUCUGCCGAGAACACCCAAAAUUCAAACCAGAAUGGCAAAGACUCAAAACCAUCAACACCAAGAUAAAAAAGACAAGAAUCUUUCAAAAAACAGGAAAAAAACUCCUAAAACACCAAAAGACCUAGUUCUGUAAAAGACAUUAAAGCAAAAACGCAGGUACAGAAAAACGUGGUUCUCUUUCCAAAGUCGAAGCCAAGUUCAUCAAUUAUGUGAAGAAUUGCUUCCGGAAGACUGACCAGGAGGCUAUUCAAGAUCUCUGGCAGCGGAGGAAGCCUCU